rnacentral:rRNA from 1 species
UACGAAGGGGGCUAGCGUUGCUCGGAAUCACUGGGCGUAAAGCGCACGUAGGCGGCUUUUUAAGUCAGGGGUGAAAUCCUGGAGCUCAACUCCAGAACUGCCUUUGAUACUGAGGGUCUCGAGUCCGGGAGAGGUGAGUGGAACUGCGAGUGUAGAGGUGAAAUUCGUAGAUAUUCGCAAGAACACCAGUGGCGAAGGCGGCUCACUGGCCCGGUACUGACGCUGAGGUGCGAAAGCGUGGGGAGCAAACAGG